rnacentral:rRNA from 1 species
AUUGAACGCUGGCGGCAGGCCUAACACAUGCAAGUCGAGCGAGCGGCGGACGGGUGAGUAAUGUAUGGGAAUCUGCCCGAUGGAGGGGGAUAACUACUGGAAACGGUGGCUAAUACCGCAUACUGUCAGAUGUGCCCAUAUGGGAUUAGCUAGUAGGUUGGGUAAUGGCUUACCUAGGCGACGAUCCCUAGCUGGUCUGAGAGGAUGCCCAGCCACAUUGGAACUGAGACACGGCCCAGACUCCUACGGGAGGCAGCAGUGGGGAAUAUUGCACAAUGGGCGCAAGCCUGAUGCAGCCAGGCCGCGUGUAUGAAGAAGGCCCUAGGGUUGUAAAGAACUUUCAGUCGGGAGGCGUUACCCUCAGAAGAAGCACCGGCUAACUCCGUGCCAGCAGCCGCGGUAAUUC